GUGAUCUCAUUUUUUGAAAAUUAUGUCUCAAACAGCGUAUUUGCUUACUACGUUCUAUGCAAUUUAAGGUUUCAAAUAGCUUAUCUACUUACUCAUCUCUCGUUCUCUUGGAGUUUAUUCUUACUUAUUCACUUGCUGAAAUUUUAUUCCAACUUUAUUAGUCCCAAUUUUUUAGUCUAUCGUUUGGUUCACUUUUUUUUUGCUUGGUCCUUUUGUUUUU
rnacentral:lncRNA from 1 species